CGUAUUAAAGUCUAGACAAUCAAAGCAAAAGUGAUGCCCCGUCUGUCGUGGCUGCUGAUUUCCGUGAUGUCAACAAGCCCUCUGUGAAUGAUCUCGGUGCGAUGGGACAGGCCCCCCGUCUGUCGUGGCUGCCGAUUUCCGUGAUGUCAACAAGCCCUCUGUGAAUGAUCUCGUGCGAUGGGACAGGCAGCCGUUAGCGUUCCCACCGUGCAGGCACAAGAGCUGGAAAUAACCAGAGAAUAUACAACCACUAGGGACAAUGACAAGUGUAAGCAAAAAACAUCGUGUUUAUUAUCUGUGUUUUAAUAUAAUUUGUCAGCUAAUAUAAUUAAAUUUUAAUAAUGGCUGUAUUUAACAAGCUGCCUACAAGAUUCCUAUAAACUUAACAAUCUGCCUGCAAGUCGGUCCAAGCCGGUUGCCACACACUCUGUCUCAGGACUCCGUGACAAAGAGUAGAGUUUGGAGGACAGACCCAUCCCGCCAUACAGGAAAAAAAAAAGUCCUAUAUACCACAGGAGGGUGUGGCAUCAAGCUUCCCCUCCCCACGUGGCCCAGGAAAGCCAAGACGAAAUAUCAAGGUUGAAACUGAUCCAAGCCCCGUGAAACGCUUGGGUCCGCAAGAUGAGUAAAGGCAAAAGCACUCAGUGCCCUUCGGCAACCCCCAGAAAAGACGCCCCCUGAAGAUGAGCUCCUAAUAAACAAUCACAAAGCCCACGGGGGAUAGACUCCCUCAGGGACUGUCGUCCAAUGUGGAAAAGGCGAUAAAACCGGUUUUACCAUGUUAAAUGGUAUAUAAAAAGAAUAACUGCAUUUUAAAAAAGAACAACUAGACUUGAAAAAGAACCAAACAAAACUUCUAGAAAAGAAACCGAAAAGGAACAAUUAUUUUAAAAUUAAGGGAUACGUGUUUGCGUGAUACAAGCUGACCGUAAAAACUCAAUGUCUGGGUAAAAGGGAAGAUUGGCUAGAGCGGGAAACUCAGUGAAAUGGAAGAUAGGGCUGAGAAAUCCACUCAUAAAAUGAAAAUAUGCAAGAGAGGUUGGGGAACUACAAAGGGCAGGAAUGGGCGCCAGAAGAGGAGGGCCGUCCGUGCCGGGGCCGUUUUGGAGUCCCUCUCAUGGCACAGGCGGGCUCUGUGGGCCUCCUGGGCCCCUCUCCACGGUGGGUCCUAGCCAGGGACAGCUCUUAUUUCAGCAUCCGUCCCCAUAGCCAGCUCCAGUUCCAACUGGGCGGAGACUUGUCGGAAAUUUCUAUUACCCAAUGCUUCCUUCCUGGCUGGCACGUGUGGCCUGGGACGUGCACCCUGUCCGGGUCGAGAGGGCAUUGAGAUAGCGUCGAGACCCCAGCCACAGGGGGCUUUCGUCCACCGACACGGUUCUGCACUUGGAUUUCUAGCGUGGCCUUGACUGGGAGGCCACAGAUGCAGAGAUGCCUGGAGGGGCUUCAGGAUUAGAAAAUAUAGGCACCAAGGAGGCAAUGGGCUAACCAAGGAGUGGGGAAGGCGCGACCGUGUCACCCCACUUUACAGUGUGCAGGCACUGAGCUGCAAACCUUGGCCAUGCAGCCUGUGUGUACGCAUCACAGGCAAGGCAGGCCGGCACCCUGAGUCCACAGCAGGACACUUCGCAAGGUGCCAGGAUGAUGGUCUCCUCCCUCCCGCGAGUCACCGGGGCCUGGGGCUUGCGUUAGGGGCUCGUAGCCAUUCACUGUUUCAACACAACGGGACUUCUCAUCAAGCGAUUCAGUGAUGAUUUUUACAAAGUUGUUGCUUAAGACUGAUUUUUUUUUAAUGUGGUGAGACGUGAUCUCACAAAAAGAAAACGAAAGAUCUGUGUAUUGCAAUUCUAUGCAUGAGAAAUGCACCAGGCCAGACACAGUGGCUCACACUUUGGGAGGCUGAGGAGGGAGGAUUGCUUGAGUCCAGGAGUUCAAAAUCAGCUUGGGCAACGUGGUGAAACCCUGUCUCUACCAAAAAAAAAAAAAAAAAAAAAAAAAAAAA
rnacentral:lncRNA from 1 species